GAUUGUAUGAUGAAGAAAAUCAGACGGAUUCCCAUUGAUUUUCCGAAACAUGAUGUCACAACCAGCUACUUCUGACUCUC
rnacentral:snoRNA from 1 species